rnacentral:tRNA from 1 species
GAGGGUAUAGCUCAGUGGUAGAGCACGUGCUUAGCAUGCACGAAGUCCUGGGUUCAAUCCCCAAUACCUCCA